rnacentral:rRNA from 1 species
ACACGGAGGGUGCGAGCGUUAAUCGGAAUUACUGGGCGUAAAGCGUACGUAGGCGGUUGGUUAAGUUAGAUGUGAAAGCCCCGGGCUUAACCUGGGAACUGCAUUUAAAACUGGCGAACUAGAGUUGAGUAGAGGGGAGUGGAAUUUCAGGUGUAGCGGUGAAAUGCGUAGAGAUCUGAAGGAACACCAGUGGCGAAGGCGACUCCCUGGACUCGAACUGACGCUGAGGUACGAAAGCGUGGGUAGCAAACGGGAUUAGAAACCCUAGUAGUCC